CCGCCCGUAGCUCAGUUGGUAGAGCAGAUCCCUUUUAAGGAUAAGGUCCUCGGUUCGAUCCCGAGCGGGCGGACAA
rnacentral:tRNA from 1 species